rnacentral:rRNA from 1 species
CUACGGGUUGCAGCAGUAGGGAAUAUUGGACAAUGGGCGAAAGCCUGAUCCAGCAACACCGCGUGCACGAUGACGGCCUUCGGGUUGUAAAGUGCUUUUAGAGGAGAUGAGAAAGGACAGUAUCCUCUGAAUAAGCCUCGGCAAACUACGUGCCAGCAGCCGCGGUAAAACGUAGGAGGCAAGCGUUAUCCGGAUUUAUUGGGCGUAAAGCGCGUGCAGGCGGUCUAGCAAGUUGGAUGUGAAAGCUCCCGGCUCAACUGGGAGAGGUCGUUCAAUACUGUUAGACUAGAGAAUAGGAGAGGGAGGUGGAAUUCCGGGUGUAGUGGUGAAAUGCGUAGAUAUCCGGAGGAACACCAGUGGCGAAAGCGGCCUCCUGGACUAUUUCUGACGCUAAGACGCGAAAGCUAGGGUAGCAAACGGGAUUAGAUACCCGGGUAGUC